UAAAACGGCGCUUCCCGUGCGAUCACCGAUGUUAAGAAACGUCAAGCCUGGUCAGUAUCUAGAUGGGUGACCGUUUGGGAAUACCAGGUACUGUAA